rnacentral:rRNA from 1 species
CACCAGCGCCUCGAGUGGUACCCACGAAUAUUGGGCCUAAAGCGUCCGUAGCCGGGCCGAUAAGUCCGCUGUGAAAUGUUGGGGCUCAACCCUAACGCGUGCAGUGGAUACUGCCGGUCUUGGGAACGGGGGAGGGUCGGAGUACUUCCAGGGUAGGGGUAAAAUCCGUUGAGCCUGGAAGGACUACCAGUGGCGAAGGCGCCGAUCCAAAACGUGUCCGACGGUGAGGGACGAAAGCUGGGGGAGCGAA